rnacentral:rRNA from 1 species
GAUGAACGCUGGCGGCGUGCCUAAUACAUGCAAGUCGAGCGAACAGACGAGGAGCUUGCUCCUCUGACGUUAGCGGCGGACGGGUGAGUAACACGUGGAUAACCUACCUAUAAGACUGGGAUAACUUCGGGAAACCGGAGCUAAUACCGGAUAACAUGUUGAACCGCAUGGUUCAACAGUGAAAGACGGUUUUGCUGUCACUUAUAGAUGGAUCCGCGUCGCAUUAGCUAGUUGGUAAGGUAACGGCUUACCAAGGCAACGAUGCGUAGCCGACCUGAGAGGGUGAUCGGCCACACUGGAACUGAGACACGGUCCAGACUCCUACGGGAGGCAGCAGUAGGGAAUCUUACGCAAUGGGCGAAAGCCUGACGGAGCAACGCCGCGUGAGUGAAGAAGGUCUUCGGAUCGUAAAACUCUGUUAUUAGGGAAGAACAAAUGUGUAAGUAACUAUGCACGUCUUGACGGUACCUAAUCAGAAAGCCACGGCUAACUACGUG